GCUUCAAAGACACAGGAUAACGUGGAUCCGGCAGAAAGGAGACCUCUGCGGAAGAUCUGGAGUACCCACAAUGUUCCAGGCACUGGAAUGGGCUCUGUGGAUAAAGCAGUGAAGGAUUCAAGAACCAUCCAUGCCCCCCAGCUUGCAUUCUAUUAGGGUUGAAGACCAUUCGCAUCAGUGUGAUAAUCGCAGUGAUGAAGGUCUGCUGGGGGAAAAAAUGAGGAAGGAACCAGAAGAAAGGUCUAGGGAAACCAAAGAACCACAGGAUAUGAUGGAUGUGCUGGGCGGCUUCUGCUAUGGAACUGCGGCUACCUUUAUCUGGUAUCACGUAUCUCCUUGACUUGGACAGAAGAUAACCCAGACUCACAACGUGGACAUUCUCCAACACACUUUUCCUAAAUUAGACCGGAG